GAUCCUGGCUCAGGAUGAACGCUGGCGGCGUGCCUAACACAUGCAAGUCGAACGGAACUAUUUUGGAAACUCCUUCGGGAGCGGAAUCUUUAGUUUUAGUGGCGGACGGGUGAGUAACGCGUGAGCAAUCUGCCUUUAAGAGGGGGAGUAACAGUCGGAAACGGCUGCUAAUACCGCAUAAAGCAAUGAAUUCGCAUGUUUUCAUUGCCAAAGGAGCAAUCCGCUUUUAGAUGAGCUCGCGU
rnacentral:rRNA from 1 species